AUUGAACGCUGGCGGCAGGCUUAACACAUGCAAGUCGAGCGGGGAAGGGUAGCUCGCUACCUAACCUAGCGGCGGACGGGUGAGUAAUGCUUAGGAAUCUGCCAUUUAGUGGGGGACAACAUUCCGAAAGGAAUGCUAAUACCGCAUACGUCCUACGGGAGAAAGUAGGGGAUCUUCGGACCCUGCGCUAAAUGAUGAGCCUAAGUCGGAUGAGCUAGUUGGUGGGGUAAAGGCCUACCAAGGCGACGAUCUGUAGCGGGUCUGAGAGGAUGAUCCGCCACACUGGGACUGAGACACGGCCCAGACUCCUACGGGAGGCAGCAGUGGGGAAUAUUGGACAAUGGGGGCAACCCUGAUCCAGCCAUGCCGCGUGUGUGAAGAAGGCCUUCGGGUUGUAAAGCACUUUAAGCUGGGAGGAAGGUUCGCUGGCUAAUAUCCGGCGGAAUUGACGUUACCAGCAGAAUAAGCACCGGCUAACUCCGUGCCAGCAGCCGCAGUAA
rnacentral:rRNA from 1 species